rnacentral:lncRNA from 1 species
ACUUAAUCUGUUUGCUUCAGUUUCCUCCUCUAUAAAAUCAACAGGAAAAGGAAAUGGAAAACCAAUUCAAUAUCUUUGUGAAGAAUAACCCAAAAAAGAGACAUGAAGAAUCAGACAUGAUUGACAAAUGACUAAACAACAACAAAAAAGAGGAUGAUAAGAAGACCUAUUUUAUGAUCAGGCUGGAAGAUAGCAAGGAAGUUUCUAACUAAUGAGAAGGAGAAUUGGAGCAGUCAUUAAAAGUGAUAUUGGAUUGGAGAAGUCUACCUUUGGAAAUGCAUUAAGG